rnacentral:misc_RNA from 1 species
UUAUGUUUUGUGGAAGCUAAAAUUCAAAUCCAAGUUUAAUUAUCCAAAGCUCUGAUUUUUAUUUUAUUUAUUUAUUUGCAUUGUAAUUUUCUCAGAUCUUACAAUUAUGAGAAUGCUAUUUUAUGUCUGGUGUUGGCAUUAGUAUGUGACUUUAGAGUACCGGCAGAGCCUCAUAAUACAGUUGAGCAUGUUUCAAGAAUUUGAUUUUAUAUUUAUGAGGAUUUUGGAUUUUGGUUCAUUGCAGUUUCUUGGGAAGGCUAAUGAGA